AGUGAACGCUGGCGGUAGGCCUAACACAUGCAAGUCGAACGGCAGCACAGUAAGAGCUUGCUCUUACGGGUGGCGAGUGGCGGACGGGUGAGGAAUACAUCGGAAUCUACUUUUUCGUGGGGGAUAACGUAGGGAAACUUACGCUAAUACCGCAUACGACCUACGGGUGAAAGCAGGGGAUCUUCGGACCUUGCGCGAUUGAAUGAGCCGAUGUCGGAUUAGCUAGUUGGCGGGGUAAAGGCCCACCAAGGCGACGAUCCGUAGCUGGUCUGAGAGGAUGAUCAGCCACACUGGAACUGAGACACGGUCCAGACUCCUACGGGAGGCAGCAGUGGGGAAUAUUGGACAAUGGGCGCAAGCCUGAUCCAGCCAUACCGCGUGGGUGAAGAAGGCCUUCGGGUUGUAAAGCCCUUUUGUUGGGAAAGAAAGGCAGCAGGUUAAUACCCCGCUGUUCUGACGGUACCCAAAGAAUAAGCACCGGCUAAUUUCGUG
rnacentral:rRNA from 1 species